UACGUAGGGAGCAAGCGUUGUCCGGAAUCAUUGGCGUAAAGCGCGCGUAGGUGGCUUCGUAAGUCCGCUGUGAAAGUCAAAGGCUCAACCUUUGAAAGCCGGUGGAUACUGUGAAGCUAGAGUACGGAAGAGGCGAGUGGAAUUCCUGGUGUAGCGGUGGAAUGCGCAGGAUAUCAGGAGGAACACCAAUAGCGAAGGCAGCUCGCUGGGACGUAACUGACGCUGAGACGCGAAAGCGUGGGAGCGAACAGG
rnacentral:rRNA from 1 species